GUGGGGAAUAUUGGACAAUGGGCGCAAGCCUGAUCCAGCCAUGCCGCGUGAGUGAUGAAGGCCCUAGGGUUGUAAAGCUCUUUCACCGGUGAAGAUAAUGACGGUAACCGGAGAAGAAGCCCCGGCUAACUUAGUGCCAGCAGCCGCGGUAAUACGAAGGGGGCUAGCGUUGUUCGGAAUUACUGGGCGUAAAGCGCACGUAGGCGGAUUGUUAAGUUAGGGGUGAAAUCCCAGGGCUCAACCCUGGAACUGCCUUUAAUACUGGCAAUCUCGAGUCCGAGAGAGGUGAGUGGAAUUCCGAGUGUAGAGGUGAAAUUCGUAGAUAUUCGGAGGAACACCAGUGGCGAAGGCGGCUCACUGGCUCGGUACUGACGCUGAGGUGCGAAAGCGUGGGGAGCAAA
rnacentral:rRNA from 1 species